AUAUUAAGAGAGCAACAAGUUUUCUUGUUAGUUAUAGCUGCGAACGCAAGGUACAGGUACGACUCUAAUCACUAAAGAUGAAGAUUACUCUGUGUUUCAUCGUCGCCUUUAUUUCCGUAUGUUUCGGUUACACGAUUGAAAGGAAGGCCGAUUACGACCUUUGUCAGACGGUUAUAUGUCCCGGCGGCAACAGAGGAAAAUGUUACGUCAAAUCCGGAGUGCCCGCCUGUAAAUGUGUUAAAGGAUGGACGGGAUCUCAAUGCAGCAGAAAAGGUAAAUGCUCCCGAUACUGACUGCUCCCCGG